rnacentral:lncRNA from 1 species
UACACCAACUCACGCUCCCCCCCUCUCGCAUCCGCAGCCGCAGCAGAGCAGCUGCUGCCAGCCCAGCAUCGCGGCGCCAGCGCUCCCUCUCCCUCCUAGUGGUGGGUGGUGGUUGGGUGGUUGCCUUCUCCUCCACCUCCUCACGCUGAUCUGGCGAGCGAUCGGUCGAUGGCCUCCUCCUCCUCGCUUCCGCGCUGAUCAGUGGUCGUGGUGGUCGUAGUAGCAGCACAGUGGGUUGGGCCUGAUCUUGGCGCGUUGGUGGGAGCGGAUCUUGGGGGGGGGGN